UACGUAGGGCGCAAGCGUUGUCCGGAAUUAUUGGGCGUAAAGAGCUCGUAGGCGGUUUGUCGCGUCUGCCGUGAAAACCCGAGGCUUAACCUCGGGCCUGCGGUGGAUACGGGCAGACUAGAGGUAGGUAGGGGAGAAUGGAAUUCCCGGUGUAGCGGUGAAAUACGCAGAUAUCGGGAGGAACACCGGUGGCGAAGGCGGUUCUCUGGGCCUUACCUGACGCUGAGGAGCGAAAGCGUGGGGAGCGAACAGG
rnacentral:rRNA from 1 species